UAUCAGCCAGUGCUAGGCCUGCCUCCCUACCGUGACGCUCUGCCCGAAAAUCCCUAGGUCGCCAGUCUCGUGAUAGUUUCGAUUCAGUGCCGUUUUAGCCAAAGCUUUGGCACCCUUCUCUUCUCCGAUCUAGUAGUCUCUUCAGUUUUUCAUCGAUCUUGUUUAGUCUCUGCGAGCAACAUGUCUUACCCCCGAUCUCCACGCCGUAAGCCCCCGCCCCCCUGUGCUCCUGCUCGUCGCCAGCCUCAGCGCUCCGGCCCGCACACGCCCCUGCUCGCUACCGGCCCCGGUUCUCCUGCUUCCCACCGUUCUCCUCGCCACCAUCUAGCUCCUCCCGCCGCAGCGCUGGAUGGAGGUGGUGCAUCGCCAUGGGAGCCCUGCCGCGUCGCCAAGGAAGGGGGCAUCAUGGGUGGUAGGCACGACUUGCCUAGCGCAGCAGCCAAGAUGGGGCUCACGUUCACGAAGCUGUUCAGCCGCCUCUUCGCCAAGGAGAUGAGGAUCCUCAUGGUCGGUCUCGAUGCGGCCGGUACGACCACCAUCCUCUACAAGCUCAUGCUGGGCCAGAUCGUCACCACCACCCCCACGAUCGGCUCCUUUUGUUUGGCCGGCAUUGUCUCUCCUUCCUGAACCUCAUCGCCUCUCUACCCGUGAAGUGUGUCGCCCAUCCCCGCGGCGUCGAGUUGAUGCUGGACAAGGACGAGCGAGUCAUCUGCCUGCACCGAGCACCGUUUACGGAAGGGCUCCGUUGAUUAUUUUUAUGCAGCAUUGAAUAGGAAAAUGAAACCAAAUUGAUUAUUUUGAUGUGGCACUGUUUUUUUAUUCCAGAUUUGUGAAAACACACUAGAUGGUGUUGAUAAUAGUCACCGACGGAUUUGUUCAAUGGUGUUUUUAUUCAAAUGAAAUCUCAAUGAAAAGUCUGUUUGAUGUACACUUUAACUUCCAUUGAAGUUGUAUCUGACCACGUUAACUGGAACUGCUAGUUAAUGGGAAAACUAAGUUGGUGUCAUUCAAACAUACCAACAGAAUUGAAGUUUUAUCUCAGUUUACUCUUCACUUUGAAGAGGGCACCCAUUAGAUAUGCACCAAGCACCGUUCAUGGCAAUAAACAGGCUCCUUUUGUUUGGGUGGUUGGCUCUUCUUAUAAAUUGUAUGCAAAUACCUAAGUCAUUUUGUUUCCCAGAUUUUUAUUUGGAGAAAAAACAAAAUUGGCUAUUCUAAUGUUUCCUGUUGACAACACCGUUUCUUAAUUUGAUAUUUUUAAUUUGAUCUUCUACCUUUGUCGUAUUGGGGCAUAAUGAACAAGGGCAGGUAAUUUGUGAAAACACACUAGAUGGUGUUGAGAAUAGUCACCGACGGAUUUGUUCGAUGGUGAAAAGUCUGUUUGAUGUACACUUUAACUUCCAUUGAACUUAAAUCUGACCACGUUAACUGGGACUGCUUGUUAAUGGGAAAACUAAGUUGGUGACAUUCAAACAUACCAACAGAAUUGAAGUUUUGUCUCAGUUUACUCCUCACUUUGAAGAGGGAACCCAUUAGAUAUGCGCCAAGCACCGUUCAUGUCAAUGAACAAGCUCCUUUUGUUUGGGUGGUUGGCUCUUCUUAUAAAUUGUAUGCAAAUACCUACAUCCUUUUGUUUGCCAGAUUUUUAUUUGGAGAAAAAACAAAAUUGGUUACUCUAAUGUUUCCUGUUAACAACACCGUUUCUUAUUUGAUCUUCUACCUUUGUCAGUAUUGGGGCAUAAUGAACACGGGCAGGUAAUUUGUUUUUCUCAAAAUGAGGGAAGAGAGAGACUUGCUGAUGAGCUUAAUGUGAAACUGAGCUAAUUAAUUAGUAAUUUUUGUUCAUGAGCUAGGUGAUCAGAUAUCUUCAAAUAUUAGAGUUUUGCAACUUUGAGGUGCUCCAUCAUUUGUUCAUGGAUACGAUCUCUGAAAGCACCAUUUCUUAUGUGAAGUGCGCACACACACCUACCGUUCAGUUUAGGCAGCACCUAGCGUUCAGUAGAAUGAAGAUGAUGUUAUGGCUGGACUGUCAUCUGGUGGCAGUGAGGGAAGUGCAUCUACGACAGCGAGGGGAGCAGAUUGGGAAGGCACCAUAUAACAUGUCGUUGGGCUCCGUUCAUUGAUUUGAUCAAGCACCUCUGUCAAAUAAGGCAUGCGCCGUGGAAACAGAUGGUGAUGCCAGUCCAUCCUGAGUCAAACUUGGAGAGGUGAGCAGGCUGCCGACCCAGGUUCUCUCACCCAGGGGCAAAUUUUUAGUGUAGGUCGUGAGAUGCACCGAAUGAGAAUAUACUGAGCACCGUUGCAAGAUCAGUGUAGGCUCCGAAUUAUUUUGAAUGGGAUCCUUUUCCUGUUUCCAGUUUCUUCUAUGCCUGGAGCUUUUCGUCUCAUCAUAUCCAAUUGCCAAGAAGUGUAAGCAGAUUGUGAUUUGCAGUUUUUUUUUUAAAAAGCUCAUGUUGUGCUGAUUAAUUCACUGCCUGUGUCAAUCUAAAA